rnacentral:rRNA from 1 species
GAUGAACGCUGGCGGCGUGCCUAAUACAUGCAAGUCGAGCGAAUGGAUUAAGAGCUUGCUCUUAUGAAGUUAGCGGCGGACGGGUGAGUAACACGUGGGUAACCUGCCCAUAAGACUGGGAUAACUCCGGGAAACCGGGGCUAAUACCGGAUAACAUUUUGAACCGCAUGGUUCGAAAUUGAAAGGCGGCUUCGGCUGUCACUUAUGGAUGGACCCGCGUCGCAUUAGCUAGUUGGUGAGGUAACGGCUCACCAAGGCAACGAUGCGUAGCCGCCCGGAGAGGGUGAUCGGCCACACUGGGACUGAGACACGGCCCAGACUCCUACGGGAGGCAGCAGUAGGGGAUCUUCCGCAAUGGACGAAAGUCUGACGGAGCAACGCCGCGUGAGUGAUGAAGGCUUUCGGAUCGUAAAACUCUGUUGUUAGGGAAGAACAAGUGCUAGUUGAAUAAGCUGGCACCUUGACGGUACCUAACCAGAAAGCCACGGCUAACUACGUGCCAGCAGCCGCCGUAA